CAGUCGCCACGGUAAUACGGAGGGUGCAAGCGUUAAUCGGAAUUACUGGGCGUAAAGCGCACGCAGGCGGUUUGUUAAGUCAGAUGUGAAAUCCCCGAGCUUAACUUGGGAACUGCAUUUGAAACUGGCAAGCUAACGUCUUGUAGAGGGGGGUAGAAUUCCAGGUGUAGCGGUGAAGUGCGUAGAGAUCUGGAGGAAUACCGGUGGCGAAGGCGGCCCCCUGGACAAAGACUGACGCUCAGGUGCGAAAGCGUGGGGAGCAAACAGGAUUAGAUACCCCUGUAGUCCCUGUCUCUUAUAC
rnacentral:rRNA from 1 species